UAAGGAACGAUGACGAGGGAAAGUAAAAAGCAAUAAACUAACACAGAGAGAAUCACCUUGGCUGGAAGUGAUUUUUAGGAUUGCUUUUGAAGUGCUCCUCUGAAGUCCGUUAUGGAAUAGUAGUACAUAACGGCGGCGCUUACCGUUAUAAGUUUAAGUUGGAAGGAAUUUAUUUAUCCUUCAAACAGAGUGGAACCGCGCAUGAAAGCGUCUCUGAG
rnacentral:ncRNA from 1 species